UACGGCCAUAUCACAUUGAAACAACGGUUCCCGUAUGAUCACCAAAGUUAAGAAACGUCGAGCUUGGUCAAUACCUAAAUGAGUGACCUCUUGGAAAUACCAGGUGCUGUAAG